rnacentral:rRNA from 1 species
UACAGAGGGUGCGAGCGUUAAUCGGAAUUACUGGGCGUAAAGCGCGCGUAGGCGGCUUUGCAAGUCGAGUGUGAAAUCCCCAGGCUUAACCCGGGAACUGCAUUCGAGACUGCAUGGCUAGAGUAUGGGAGAGGGAAGUGGAAUUUCAGGUGUAGCGGUGAAAUGCGUAGAUAUCUGAAGGAACAUCAGUGGCGAAAGCGACUUCCUGGACCAAUACUGACGCUCAUGUGCGAAAGCGUGGGGAGCGAACAGG